rnacentral:lncRNA from 1 species
UUAUGGUGGAGGUUUGUCAACCCAAUGGAUUUGAUCCUUGGAAAGUGUUGAUUCUUUCCAAGAAUAAUGCACUGGUCGUUGCUUUGAUGAAGAUCUCUUUCCUUUUGCUGGAGAUACAAUUGAUGGAGAUGGCAGGCCUUCCAUUCUUGCCUUCUAUUCAAAUAUACCGUAAUAGAGAAUCUUCAGUGAUUGGCGUUGAAUCUGUUGAUGCAUCCGGGGGCCUUCCAGUCUUGCCUUUUAUUCAGAUCUAUCAUUAUAGAGAAUCUUUAGUGAUUUGCGUUGAAUCUGAUUAUGCAUCCGGCUGGAUAUGAUUUCCCAAAUUUCAUGGGAGAAUUCCUGAUUUGCUGAUGAGACGCUAAUCUUUUCCUUGUGCGCCAAUGACUUCCUUUAAGGACGUUUUCCUUCCUUAUUUUAUACUUCAAUCUCGCUUCCUUGAUUGAAUAUAGUGGAAACUUGCCUUUUAGCUUUGCUUCAUUAGUUUCAAUGAUUCCACUUCCUCCUUUGAGUAUCUGCACAUGUAUAUUAAUUACAUCAUUAAAAUAUAAUCUAACAAUCUCCCCCUUUUUUAUGAUGGCAAAAUUAAUAUACUAGAGUAAACAACAGUUGACUUCCCUGUUUAUAUUCAGUUGGAUUUCUCCCCCUCAUUGCAUAGUCAACCAGACUUGAUCUCCCAUAUUUAUGUGCUGUCGAUGUGUUCGACCCCUCAU